AGCGUACACGGUGGAUGCCCUGGCAGUCAGAGGCGAUGAAGGACGUGCUAAUCUGCGAAAAGCGUCGGUAAGGUGAUAUGAACCGUUAUAACCGGCGAUGUCCGAAUGGGGAAACCCAGUGCAAUUCGUUGCACUAUCGUUAACUGAAUACAUAGGUUAACGAGGCGAACCGGGGGAACUGAAACAUCUAAGUACCCCGAGGAAAAGAAAUCAACCGAGAUUCCCCCAGUAGCGGCGAGCGAACGGGGAGCAGCCCAGAGUCUGAAUCAGCUUGUGUGUUAGUGGAACGGUCUGGAAAGUCCGACGGUACAGGGUGAUAGUCCCGUACACCAAAAUGCACAGGUUGUGAACUCGAAGAGUAGGGCGGGACACGUGGUAUCCUGUCUGAAUAUGGGGGGACCAUCCUCCAAGGCUAAAUACUCCUGACUGACCGAUAGUGAACCAGUACCGUGAGGGAAAGGCGAAAAGAACCCCGGCGAGGGGAGUGAAAAAGAACCUGAAACCGUGUACGUACAAGCAGUGGGAGCACCUUCGGGUGUGACUGCGUACCUUUUGUAUAAUGGGUCAGCGACUUAUAUUCUGUAGCAAGGUUAACCGUAUAGGGGAGCCGCAGGGAAACCGAGUCUUAACUGGGCGUUAAGUUGCAGGGUAUAGACCCGAAACCCGGUGAUCUAGCCAUGGGCAGGUUGAAGGUUGGGUAACACUAACUGGAGGACCGAACCGACUAAUGUUGAAAAAUUAGCGGAUGACUUGUGGCUGGGGGUGAAAGGCCAAUCAAACCGGGAGAUAGCUGGUUCUCCCCGAAAGCUAUUUAGGUAGCGCCUCGUGAAUUCAUCUUCGGGGGUAGAGCACUGUUUCGGCUAGGGGGUCAUCCCGACUUACCAACCCGAUGCAAACUACGAAUACCGAAGAAUGUUAUCACGGGAGACACACGGCGGGUGCUAACGUCCGUCGUGAAGAGGGAAACAACCCAGACCGCCAGCUAAGGUCCCAAAGUCAUGGUUAAGUGGGAAACGAUGUGGGAAGGCACAGACAGCCAGGAUGUUGGCUUAGAAGCAGCCAUCAUUUAAAGAAAGCGUAAUAGCUCACUGGUCGAGUCGGCCUGCGCGGAAGAUGUAACGGGGCUAAACCAUGCACCGAAGCUGCGGCAGCGACACUAUGUGUUGUUGGGUAGGGGAGCGUUCUGUAAGCCUGCGAAGGUGACCUGUGAGGGUUGCUGGAGGUAUCAGAAGUGCGAAUGCUGACAUAAGUAACGAUAAAGCGGGUGAAAAGCCCGCUCGCCGGAAGACCAAGGGUUCCUGUCCAACGUUAAUCGGGGCAGGGUGAGUCGACCCCUAAGGCGAGGCCGAAAGGCGUAGUCGAUGGGAAACAGGUUAAUAUUCCUGUACUUGGUGUUACUGCGAAGGGGGGACGGAGAAGGCUAUGUUAGCCGGGCGACGGUUGUCCCGGUUUAAGCAUGUAGGCUGGUUGUCCAGGCAAAUCCGGAUAAUCAAGGCUGAGGUGUGAUGACGAGGCACUACGGUGCUGAAGUAACAAAUGCCCUGCUUCCAGGAAAAGCCUCUAAGCAUCAGGUAACAUCAAAUCGUACCCCAAACCGACACAGGUGGUCAGGUAGAGAAUACCAAGGCGCUUGAGAGAACUCGGGUGAAGGAACUAGGCAAAAUGGUGCCGUAACUUCGGGAGAAGGCACGCUGGUGUGUAGGUGAAGUCCCUGCGGAUGGAGCUGAGACCAGUCGAAGAUACCAGCUGGCUGCAACUGUUUAUUAAAAACACAGCACUGUGCAAACACGAAAGUGGACGUAUACGGUGUGACGCCUGCCCGGUGCCGGAAGGUUAAUUGAUGGGGUUAUCCGUAAGGAGAAGCUCUUGAUCGAAGCCCCGGUAAACGGCGGCCGUAACUAUAACGGUCCUAAGGUAGCGAAAUUCCUUGUCGGGUAAGUUCCGACCUGCACGAAUGGCGUAAUGAUGGCCAGGCUGUCUCCACCCGAGACUCAGUGAAAUUGAACUCGCUGUGAAGAUGCAGUGUACCCGCGGCAAGACGGAAAGACCCCGUGAACCUUUACUAUAGCUUGACACUGAACAUUGAGCCUUGAUGUGUAGGAUAGGUGGGAGGCUUUGAAGCGUGGACGCCAGUCUGCGUGGAGCCAACCUUGAAAUACCACCCUUUAAUGUUUGAUGUUCUAACGUUGGCCCCUUAUCGGGGUUGCGGACAGUGUCUGGUGGGUAGUUUGACUGGGGCGGUCUCCUCCCAAAGCGUAACGGAGGAGCACGAAGGUUAGCUAAUCCUGGUCGGACAUCAGGAGGUUAGUGCAAUGGCAUAAGCUAGCUUGACUGCGAGCGUGACGGCGCGAGCAGGUGCGAAAGCAGGUCAUAGUGAUCCGGUGGUUCUGAAUGGAAGGGCCAUCGCUCAACGGAUAAAAGGUACUCCGGGGAUAACAGGCUGAUACCGCCCAAGAGUUCAUAUCGACGGCGGUGUUUGGCACCUCGAUGUCGGCUCAUC
rnacentral:rRNA from 1 species